rnacentral:rRNA from 1 species
AUUGAACGCUAGCGGGAUGCUUUACACAUGCAAGUCGAGCGAGCGGCGGACGGGUGAGUAAUGUAUGGGGACUGCCCGAUAGCGGGGGAUAACUACUGGAAACGGUAGCUAAUACCGCAUACUAUCGGCUAACCCAUAUGGGAUUAGCUAGUAGGGGAGGUAAUGGCUCACCUAGGCGACGAUCCCUAGCUGGUCUGAGAGGAUGAUCAGCCACAACGGGGCUGAGACACGGCCCAGGAUCCCACGGAGGCAGGAGUUGGGAAUUUUUGGCAAUUGGGGAAACCCUGAUCCAGCCAUCCCGCGUGUAUGAUGAAGGCUUUCGGGUUGUAAAGUACUUUUGGCAGAGAAGCGGUAUCUGCAGAAUAAGCACCGGCUAACUACGUGCCAGCAGCCGCGGUAAUAC